rnacentral:rRNA from 1 species
GCGAAGAACCUUACCUACCCUUGACAUCCAGAGGAUUUUCCAGAGAUGGAUUAGUGCCUUCGGGAACUCUGAGACAGGUGCUGCAUGGCUGUCGUCAGCUCGUGUUGUGAAAUGUUGGGUUAAGUCCCGUAACGAGCGCAACCCCUAUCCUUAUUUGCCAGCGAUUCGGUCGGGAACUCUAAGGAGACUGCCGGUGACAAACCGGAGGAAGGUGGGGAUGACGUCAAGUCAUCAUGGCCCUUACGGGUAGGGCUACACACGUGCUACAAUGGGGAGUACAGAGGGACGCAAAGCGGCGACGUGAAGCCAAUCCCAAAAAGCUCUCCUCAGUCCGGAUUGGAGUCUGCAACUCGACUUCAUGAAGUCGGAAUCGCUAGUAAUCGCGAAUCAGAAUGUCGCGGUGAAUACGUUCCCGGGCCUUGUACACACCGCCCGUCACACCAUGGGAGUGGAUUGCACCAGAAGUGGCUAGUUUAACCUUCGGGGGAACGGUUACCACGGUGUGGUUCAUGACUGGGGUGAAGUCGUAACAAGGUAGGCGUAGCGAG